UACGAAGGGGGCUAGCGUUGUUCGGAAUUACUGGGCGUAAAGCGCGCGCAGGCGGUCUUCCAAGUCAGUGGUGAAAGCCCGGAGCUCAACUCCGGAACUGCCAUUGAAACUGUUAGACUUGAGGACGAGAGAGGUGAGUGGAAUUCCCAGUGUAGAGGUGAAAUUCGUAGAUAUUGGGAAGAACACCGGUGGCGAAGGCGGCUCACUGGCUCGUAUCUGACGCUCAGGCGCGAUAGCGUGGGGAUCAAAC
rnacentral:rRNA from 2 species